UACAUACUCCCUCCAUCCCAAAAUUCUUGUCGAGGAAAUGGAUGUAUCUAGAUGUAUUUUAGUUCUAGAUACAUCCAUUUUUCCGACAAGUAAUUCCGGACGGAGGGAGUACUAA
rfam:Triticum aestivum genome assembly, contig: Triticum_aestivum_CS42_TGACv1_scaffold_330484_4BS